rnacentral:lncRNA from 1 species
CAGAAAUAAGUUGAAAUAAAAGAUGAUUCCCUGUCCUGACAAGUUCCAAAGAAUGUGUCCAUCAGAUAUUAUUCAGACUAGUGGCAACAAAAAAUGUAAACUAUAAAGUAUUCCUGAUGUUUCUCUUUUACAGAAAGCUCUGGGAAACAAAACAGCUGGUGUGAUCUAGGCUGCCUACAAAUACAACCGAGAUGCAUUCUUGGGAAUAUGCAGAAUUAAAAUGAAGCCACAAAGAAAAUGGAGACCUGGACUUGAACAAAUGAAACCAACUAUUUGCCUUUAUCGGUGAAAUUCUGAAAAAAACAUAAAUGGCUCACUGCAUUCAUCACAUGGAUCUCUGCUGAGGACUGCUGAUGACCAGGGAAUAAUGGAUGGGCCAGCACUUCUCUAGUGUCCAGCAAUUAGACUGUAGCUCAUGCUGUGGUGUGGAGAAACAGAACUUCAGCAAUGAAGUUGCAAGACCUUCACCAUUUCCACUACCCAUUAUUCAGGUUGUGCAAAAUGCUUCUAAAGCAUUCAUCAGAAGAGGAGCAGAGACACUGUCCCUGUGCCUGCUACAGAGAGAUCCAUUUUACAGUUUCUGCUCAGAUCACUCUUACAUUUUGCAUGUUUCCAGUGAAUAA